rnacentral:rRNA from 1 species
UAAAAAUUUAUCUAUUUUAGGUAGUAACAGAUUUCUUGAAACCUAAAGAAUUUGGCGGUAUUUUAAAUAAUUAGAGGAACCUGUUAUAUAAAUGAUAAACCACAACAUAUCUUACCUUAAUUAAGUUUGUAUACCGUUGUUUUUAGAUUAUGUUUAUAAAUUAUGAUCAAAAUUAAUUAAUUUUUAUAAAUCAAAUCAAGGUGCAGCAUAUUCAGGUUUUAAUGGGUUACAAUAUAUUUAUAUAUACGAAUAAAUUAUGAAAAAUAUUUUAGAAGGUGGAUUUAAAAGUAAUUUAAAAUUAAAAUGUUUAAAUGAAUAAAAAUUUAAAAUAUGC